AUGGAACCCUAUGUUGGCAUGAGGUUUGACAGCCUUCAAAUUGCUAAGGAUCACUACAACAGUUACGCACUACGGAUGGGUUUCUCUAUCAAGAUGAACACCUCUAGACGGACACCCCGCACCAAUGAAUUGAUAAAACAACAGUUUUGCUGCAACAAGUUCAAGAAGCCCAAAGCUGAUGAUGGAGGAGCUGAGGCUCCUCCUUACCUGGACCCUAUUCCAGAUCCAACAUCUGUUAACAGUGAUGAGGAGAUGGAAGAAGAACCUCCAAUAUUUGCUGAAGAGGAUGCUGGUACUAGUAAGAAGAAGAAGAAGCGCAAACGUGAGACAAUAAAGCAGACUGAAUGCAAGGCGAAAAUGUUGGUGAAGCUGAUAGAUGGGCGAUGGGAGGUGACGCACUUUGUUCGUGACCACAAUCAUCCGCUCGUGAACAAACCUUCAUUGUCCAAAUACUUGAGAUCCCACCAAGGCAUCUCACCUGAUGAAAAGGAGUUUCUGCGCAUCUUGUAUAACUGCAACUUGACUACAGGACGAAUGAUGCAUGUAAUGGCAGAGUUCUAUGGAUCUGAGAUGAUGGUGCCGUUCGAACCAAAGGCAAUAACAAAUCUUUGUACAAGUUUCCGUAGAGAUGACACAAAGGAGGGUGAUCUGAUUGAGACAAUUGCGCACUUCAAGGAUAUACAAAAAACCGAUCCAGACUUCUUCUAUAAGGUGAAAUAUGAUGAAGAGGACAGAGUUGUCAACAUAUUUUGGGUGGACGGCUUAGCUCGAAAAGCUUAUGUGGAGGCGUACCACGAUUGCAUAUCGUUUGACACCACCUACAUGACCAACUUGUACAAUAUGCCGUUUGCGCCCUUCAUAGGAAUAAACCGACAUGGCCAAUCUUUCAUGUUGGGUUGCGCGUUUGUGAGGCAGGAGUUGGCAUCGAGCUUUGAUUGGGUCUUUGGAGCAUUCCUAGAGGCUAUGGAUGGCAAACCUCCUGACAACUUCAUCACCGAUUAG
rnacentral:rRNA from 1 species